AGUGAACGCUGGCGGUAGGCCUAACACAUGCAAGUCGAACGGCAGCACAGUAAGAGCUUGCUCUUACGGGUGGCGAGUGGCGGACGGGUGAGGUAUACAUCGGAAUCUACUUUUUCGUGGGGGAUAACGUAGGGAAACUUACGCUAAUACCGCAUACGACCUACGGGUGAAAGCAGGGGAUCUUCGGACCUUGCGCGAUUGAAUGAGCCGAUGUCGGAUUAGCUAGUUGGCGGGGUAAAGGCCCACCAAGGCGACGAUCCGUAGCUGGUCUGAGAGGAUGAUCAGCCACUCUGGAACUGAGACACGGUCCAGACUCCUACGGGAGGCAGCAGUGGGGAAUAUUGGACAAUGGGCGCAAGCCUGAUCCAGCCAUACCGCGUGGGUGAAGAAGGCCUUCGGGUUGUAAAGCCCUUUUGUUGGGAAAGAAAAGCAGCAGGUUAAUACCCCGCUGUUCUGACGGUACCCAAAGAAUAAGCACCGGCUAACUUCGUG
rnacentral:rRNA from 1 species